ensembl:lncRNA novel transcript
ACCCAGCACCCUGCCCUGACUGUAAAGUCAGGCGGCCUGCUCCUGUUCCGCCUCCUACCGGCCCGCCUGUUUUUUCGCCUGUGGCUUAGGAACUCCAGCCUCACCUGAUCUCCGAAUGGACCUCAGCUGCUCCUGCGCCACUGGUGGCUCCUGCACCUGUGCCAGCUCCUGCAAAUGCAAAGAGUACAAAUGCACCUCCUGCAAGAAGAACUGCUGCUCCUGCUGCCCCAUGGGCUGUGCCAAAUGUGCCCAGGGCUGCACCUGAAAAGGGGCAUUGGAGAAGUGCAGCUGCCGUGCCUGAUGUUGGGACAGCCCUGCGUCCAGUUGUAAAUAACGCAACCCCUACAAAUCUAGUUUUUUUUUAAACACAAACCUAACCCAUUUACUAUGUCUGUUUUCUUAAAUGAAAUAUGGGAAUGAUAAUAAACAUUGUUGGCCUUAU